rnacentral:rRNA from 1 species
UACGUAGGGGGCAAGCGUUGUCCGGAUUUACUGGGCGUAAAGAGCGUGUAGGCGGCCAUGCAGGUCCGUUGUGAAAACUCGAGGCUCAACCUCGAGACGCCGAUGGAAACCGCAUGGCUAGAGUCCGGAAGAGGAGAGUGGAAUUCCUGGUGUAGCGGUGAAAUGCGCAGAUAUCAGGAAGAACACCCGUGGCUAAGGCGGCUCUCUAGUACGGUACUGACGCUGAGACGCGAAAGCGUGGGGAGCGAACAGG